rnacentral:rRNA from 1 species
CCUACGGGUGGCAGCAGUAGGGAAUAUUGCUCAAUGGGGGAAACCCUGAAGCAGCAACGCCGCGUGGAGGAUGAAGGUUUUAGGAUUGUAAACUCCUUUUGUUAGAGAAGAUUAUGACGGUACCUGAGUAAGAAGCCCCGGCUAACUACGUGCCAGCAGCCGCGGUAAUACGUAGGGGGCAAGCGUUAUCCGGAAUUACUGGGUGUAAAGGGAGCGUAGACGGUAAUGCAAGUCUGGAGUGAAAGGCGGGGGCCCAACCCCCGGACUGCUCUGGAAACUGUGUAACUGGAGUGCAGGAGAGGCAGGCGGAAUUCCUAGUGUAGCGGUGAAAUGCGUAGAUAUUAGGAGGAACACCAGUGGCGAAGGCGGCCUGCUGGACUGUAACUGACGUUGAGGCUCGAAAGCAUGGGGAGCAAACAGGAUUAGAUACCCCUGUAGUC